GGUGGGAUGACGUCAAGUCAGCAUGGCCCUUACAUCCUGGGCCUUACACACACGGCUACAAUGGGUGAUACAACAGGUAGCAAAGAGCGAUCUGGAGCCAAUCCAAAAAUCAUCCUCAGUUCGGAUUGCAGGCUGCAACUGCUUGCAUGAAGUUGGAGUUGCUAGUAAACGCAGGUCAGCACAUUGCGUUGAAUACGUUCUCGGGCCUU
rnacentral:rRNA from 1 species